UACAGAGGGUGCAAGCGUUAAUCGGAAUUACUGGGCGUAAAGCGUGCGCAGUCGGUUAUUUAAGUCGGAUGUGAAAUCCCCGGGCUCAACCUGGGAAUUGCAUUCGAUACUGGAUAGCUAGAGUUCGGCAGAGGGAAGUGGAAUUUCAGGUGUAGCGGUGAAAUGCGUAGAUAUCUGAAGGAACAUCAGUGGCGAAAGCGGCGCGCUGGAUCUCUUCUGACGCUGAGGCGCGAAAGCCAGGGGAGCAAACGGG
rnacentral:rRNA from 1 species